UACGUAGGGGGCUAGCGUUGUCCGGAAUCAUUGGGCGUAAAGCGCGUGUAGGCGGCCCGGUAAGUCCGCUGUGAAAGUCGGGGGCUCAACCCUCGAAUGCCGGUGGAUACUGUCGGGCUAGAGUGCGGAAGAGGCGAGUGGAAUUCCUGGUGUAGCGGUGAAAUGCGCAGAUAUCAGGAGGAACACCAAUUGCGAAGGCAGCUCGCUGGGACGUUACUGACGCUGAGACGCGAAAGCGUGGGGAGCAAACAGG
rnacentral:rRNA from 1 species